GAGACCCAUCCAGGCCCACUUCCGCUGCACUUGCACUCUGGGUUUGAGCGUUUUUCGAGGCACACACUCAAACACUUAACGAGCAUCUAUGCUGCUGCCUGACGACUGUGACUGGGAACGCGUACGCGCAUCGACUGUGACUGAAACUGAGCUGAGAUGUUGAGAUCUUGAGAAAUGAGAUCUUGAGAACUGAGAAACUGUAGCAGCAAAUGAGAUAAAGUCUACUUAGCUGGAUCCCGCCCGUGCUGAUACUGGAAUCGGAG